GUUCCCGCCAUCUACACAAAAUUAAAAUUGUACCAGUCAGUGACAGAAGAGGAGUACUUCAAAGCGGUUAGACGAGUUACGUUGGUGACACCAUUUAUGCAAUACAUUAAAUAGAAUGUUAUUACGAAUUGAAAUGAGUAAAUAACAAUUCAAUGUUUUUAAAAAAAAUAUAUUAUUUAGUUGACUUUAGCACUUAAUGCUCUACUUGACCAUAGAUCAUAAUGGGAUUGUUAGAAUGAACCUUGACACGAGUAUAAGGUCUUUGGAGUUAUCAAUGGGUGCUUCGGUAGAAUAAUUCCAGUACUUAGGGAUACGAGGUGUGAAAUAUACUACGAAACGAAGCGUAAAAUAGAGAAUCGUGAAGAAUGGAGGAAUGCUGCCAAUCAGAACUGUUAACGCAAAUAAGAAGAUUAUCCAACAUAGACAUUCAAAUUUUUGAUGAUAAAAUUUACUAAAGAUUUUUUACUUUCAAAUAACGUCAAAGAGUAGUAAUGGUAACUCUGCUUACCGCGUUG